rnacentral:rRNA from 1 species
GGCCCGGGCGGGCGUGCUAUACAUGCAAGUCGAGCGGACUUACAAAAGCUUGCUUUUGUAAGUUAGCGGCGGACGGGUGAGUAACACGUGGGCAACCUGCCCUUGAGACUGGGAUAACUUCGGGAAACCGGAGCUAAUACCGGAUAAUAUAAGAAACCUCCUGGUUCCUUAUUGAAAGAUGGUUUCGGCUAUCACUUAAGGAUGGGCCCGCGGCGCAUUAGCUAGUUGGUGAGGUAACGGCUCACCAAGGCGACGAUGCGUAGCCGACCUGAGAGGGUGAUCGGCCACACUGGGACUGAGACACGGCCCAGACUCCUACGGGAGGCAGCAGUAGGGAAUCUUCCACAAUGGACGAAAGUCUGAUGGAGCAACGCCGCGUGAGUGAUGAAGGCCUUCGGGUCGUAAAGCUCUGUUGUUAGGGAAGAACAAGUGCGAGAGUAACUGCUCGCACCUUGACGGUACCUAACCAGAAAGCCACGGCUAACUACGUGCCAGCAGCCGCGGUAAU